CCUACGGGAGGCAGCAGUGAGGAAUAUUGGUCAAUGGACGAGAGUCUGAACCAGCCAAGUAGCGUGAAGGAUGACUGCCCUAUGGGUUGUAAACUUCUUUUAUAUGGGAAUAAAACGUUCCACGUGUGGGAUUUUGUAUGUACCAUAUGAAUAAGGAUCGGCUAACUCCGUGCCAGCAGCCGCGGUAAUACGGAGGAUCAGAGCGUUUUCCGGAUUUAUUGGGUUUAAAGGGAGCGUAGGUGGAUUGUUAAGUCAGUUGUGAAAGUUUGCGGCUCAACCGUAAAAUUGCAGUUGAAACUGGCAGUCUUGAGUACAGUAGAGGUAGGCGGAAUUCGUAGUGUAGCGGUGAAAUGCUUAGAUAUCACGAAGAACUCCAGUUGCGAAGGCAGUUCACUGGACUGCAACUGACACUGAGGCUCGAAAGUGUGGGUAUCAAACAGGAUUAGAUACCCCAGUAGUC
rnacentral:rRNA from 1 species